GUGGGGAAUAUUGGACAAUGGGCGAAAGCCUGAUCCAGCCAUGCCGCGUGUGUGAAGAAGGUCUUCGGAUUGUAAAGCACUUUAAGUUGGGAGGAAGGGCAGUAAGUUAAUACCUUGCUGUUUUGACGUUACCGACAGAAUAAGCACCGGCUAACUUCGUGCCAGCAGCCGCGGUAAUACGAAGGGUGCAAGCGUUAAUCGGAAUUACUGGGCGUAAAGCGCGCGUAGGUGGUUCAGUAAGUUGGAAGUGAAAUCCCCGGGCUCAACCUGGGAACUGCUUUCAAAACUGCUGAGCUAGAGUACGGUAGAGGGUGGUGGAAUUUCCUGUGUAGCGGUGAAAUGCGUAGAUAUAGGAAGGAACACCAGUGGCGAAGGCGACCACCUGGACUGAUACUGACACUGAGGUGCGAAAGCGUGGGGAGCAAACAGGAUUAGAAACCCCAGUAGUCC
rnacentral:rRNA from 1 species